UUCUGGGAGGAUUGACAGGUUGAGAGCUCUUUCUUGAAUCGGUGGAUGGUGGGUGUAUGUCCGUUCUUAGUUGGUGGAGCGAUUUGUCUGGUUAAUUCCGAUAACGAACGAGACUCUAGUCUAUU
rnacentral:ncRNA from 1 species